ACAACACUAUACAGUGGAUCAUUUGGCUCGGGGGUCGGUGAAGAACGGAGCUAACUCUGUGAUGCCGUGUGAACUGCAGGACACAUGAACAUCGACACUUUGAACGCAUAUUGCGGAAAUAAGCUUGUCUUGUUUCCAUAUCUGACUCAGGGUCGGUUAAACAUCCAUCA
rnacentral:rRNA from 1 species